GGUUGUGUAGUGUAGUGGUAGGGUGCGGUGUUGUUGGUGUUGUGGUCGUGGGUUCGAGUCCCACAGGCACCC
rnacentral:tRNA from 1 species